GACGUAGGGCGCGAGCGUUGUCCGGAAUUAUUGGGCGUAAAGAGCUCGUAGGCGGUGUGUCGCGUCGGCCGUGAAAACCUGGGGCUUAACUCUGGGCUUGCGGUCGAUACGGGCAUCACUGGAGUUCGGCAGGGGAGACUGGAAUUCCUGGUGUAGCGGUGAAAUGCGCAGAUAUCAGGAGGAACACCGGUGGCGAAGGCGGGUCUCUGGGCCGAUACUGACGCUGAGGAGCGAAAGCGUGGGGAGCGAACAGG
rnacentral:rRNA from 1 species